AUGCCUCCCUCCUCUCCGUCCUACAACCACGCCACCGGAGGAAGCCGUCGUUCGUGGCGCCAUAUCGCUGCCGGGGUGCCGCGUAAGAGGCUAGGGGACGCCGCCACCGCAAGCCGGCAGGAAGCCAACGGCGAGCACGCCGUCAAGAUGCCGCCAGGAGGACCUACCAUCCGGUCCAUGUCGUCAAGCGAGGGCCGCUUGUUGCGUCGUCGUGGGAGGAGGCGCACCAUCGAGGAGCAGCAGAGGAGGAGACGAGGACCAUCAAGGAGUAGCAGGGGAGGAGACGAGGACCAUCGAGGAGCAGUCCAUGGACAUUGUCAGAAUGGUCAAUUUAGUCUGGCGUAUUAUUUUCAGAUAUCAUGUUUGUCCAAGCCUCCAAGAUUCAAUUAG
rnacentral:rRNA from 1 species